rnacentral:miRNA from 1 species
AUCUGCCUGUGUUUGGCUGAGUGGAAUUGGUUGUGUUGGAGCUUAUGGUAAUAGCUUCUUUCCUGCCCUUUACCCACAACCUCCUCACGGAUGGUCAUUUGCAG